CAGAUCCAGCUGCAACAGUCAGGAGCUGAGCUGGCGAGUCCUGGGGCAUCAGUGACACUGUCCUGCAAGGCUUCUGGCUACACAUUUACUGACCAUAUUAUGAAUUGGGUAAAAAAGAGGCCUGGACAGGGCCUUGAGUGGAUUGGAAGGAUUUAUCCAGUAAGUGGUGAAACUAACUACAAUCAAAAGUUCAUGGGCAAGGCCACAUUCUCUGUAGACCGGUCCUCCAGCACAGUGUACAUGGUGUUGAACAGCCUGACAUCUGAGGACCCUGCUGUCUAUUACUGUGGAAG